UUGUAAUGGUCGGCCAUCUAUGUCCU
rnacentral:piRNA from 1 species